rnacentral:snoRNA from 1 species
CCCCAGAAAAGGGACAUUCACACAUUUUACUUCCUGUCCCAGCCCCAGAGCCUAAGAAGGAGGUCUUACUGGGGCUGGCCUGGGUGGAAGACGAUCAUUUGUUCUAGAAGAAGCUUCCUGAGUGGC